CGGGAGACCCGCGGCCGACUGCUCCUUCGCGGACACCCCGCGAGACGGCUGCGCCUGAUCGUCUAGCCCGUUCGUCCCCAUGCUGCCUGGCCUAGCGUUGAGGUGACUGCGGGCUCUUGGCGCACGUACAUGAGAUAUAGAAUGAGAGACGGCGUUUACUUUCGCUGGCUUCCUCGCUCACCAAAGAACCCACCGGACCGCCAACCUGCGACCGCAUGCGAGCACCUCGUCCCGGCCUCGGCACCACUUUGUCCCCCCCACAACAACGCAAGGACAAACUGUUCCGAUGAAAUUUGACUAAUUCUUCAGACGCGGUGGGCGGGUCGAGACAAACGUCGACAAUAUCGAUACCGACUUCAGCGCGGACGCUGCUAGACAUCGACGUCAUCAGAUCAAUACUUCACUUCCUGUUUCCCGCUGUAUGCGCUUACUGCGAUUUUGGCAAAGAAGUAACUUAGCUGACGGCGUUUGUGUGUUGCUACUGACUCUUCACUCUUAGCAGGGGCCUGUAUCGGAUUCUGAUGAGAUGUUUAGCAAAAAUGCUGCGAGUUCGCGGUAACACGGAAAUUGCAAUUACAUCGCUGACGUGUAUUAUUUUGAAAUGUUUGGGUAAAUUAAAAAAAAUAAAAAAAUCAUUAAAAAAAACAUUUUU